GGGGUUGUGGCUCAGUGGUACAGCACUUGCCUAGCAUGCAUGAGACACUGGGUUCAAUCUCCAGCACCACA
rnacentral:tRNA from 1 species